rnacentral:rRNA from 1 species
AGUGGGGAAUAUUGGACAAUGGGCGAAAGCCUGAUCCAGCCAUGCCGCGUGAGUGAUGAAGGCCUUAGGGUUGUAAAGCUCUUUCAGUGGGGAAGAUAAUGACGGUACCCACAGAAGAAGCCCCGGCUAACUUCGUGCCAGCAGCCGCGGUAAUACGAAGGGGGCUAGCGUUGUUCGGAUUUACUGGGCGUAAAGCGCACGUAGGCGGAUCGUUAAGUCGGGGGUGAAAUCCUGGAGCUCAACUCCAGAACUGCCUUCGAUACUGGCGAUCUUUGAGUCCGGAAGAGGUGAGUGGAACUCCUAGUGUAGAGGUGAAAUUCGUAGAUAUUAGGAAGAACACCAGUGGCGAAGGCGGCUCACUGGCCCGGUACUGACGCUGAUAUGCGAAAGCGUGGGGAGCAAA